GAAUAAUGGAGAGAGGAAGUGUGUUGAGGAAAAGAGAAAACAGGAGUGAAAAACAGAAGUUACCAAUAGUGUACAGUAAUUGCCAAUUUAACUGAACAUGGAGUCACAGACACUGGCGUUGAUUCGUCUGUGUGUACACGCGUGCACUUCUGUUAAUGGGAAGGGGGCGCUCACCACUAACCUCUUUAUUGCCUUCAGGAUGAAUUGAGAGGUAGAAAGCUUCUGACAACAGGAUGUCUGCCUAUUUGAUCUGCUCUCCAUCAGUCUAGGAACUGAUGCUUCGUUUCGAGGGUUUCUCCAUUUCUCCGUGUAACAGCCCUUGACUGUCCUGGACUAUGACUCUCAGAGAUCUGACUACCUCUGCCUCCUGAGUGCUGGGAUCAAAGGCAUGCACCCCCACGCUCUGCCUCUAAGACGUUUUCGAUGGUUCCAUUAUCAGCAUCAAUCUAUACAGAGAUCAUGUCUUACACGAUUAUUUCUUCACAGGAUGGCUGGCCUCAUCCAUUUAAGAUGGAUUCUUGUUAGUUUCCAUUCAUCCAAUUUUAUUAUUAUCAUUAUCAUUAUUAUUAUUGCCUCCUGUACUGGUUAGUUUUUGUUACCUAAUGGUGCUCCUGCUGUAUGUGUUUGUUUCCUCACCCUCAAUAAAGGCUGCUGAUCCUGUCUGC